rnacentral:rRNA from 1 species
AGUGAACGCUGGCGGUAGGCCUAACACAUGCAAGUCGAACGGCAGCACAGUAAGAGCUUGCUCUUACGGGUGGCGAGUGGCGGACGGGUGAGGAAUAGAUCGGAAUCUACUUUUUCGUGGGGGAUAACGUAGGGAAACUUACGCUAAUACCGCAUACGAUCUACGGGUGAAAGCAGGGGAUCUUCGGACCUUGCGUGAUUGAAUGAGCCGAUGUCGGAUUAGCUAGUUGGCGGGGUAAAGGCCCACCAAGGCGACGAUCCGUAGCUGGUCUGAGAGGAUGAUCAGCCACACUGGAACUGAGACACGGUCCAGACUCCUACGGGAGGCAGCAGUGGGGAAUAUUGCACAAUGGGCGCAAGCCUGAUCCAGCCAUACCGCGUGAGUGAAGAAGGCCUUCGGGUUGUAAAGCCCUUUUGUUGGGAAAGAAAAGCAGCAGAUUAAUACCCCGCUGUUCUGACGGUACCCAAAGAAUAAGCACCGGCUAACUUCGUG